CUCCCACACCCUGGCUUCGUCUUCUUCACGCCAGAUUGAAGCAAGCAGCGCGAUGGAAGAUUAAAAAACGGCCCCCUGUUCUGCUGCUUCUUCAUGUUUCGAACUCAUAAACCCCAAGCUUUUUCAUCCUCCUUCUUCAGCCAUUAGAGACCCCAUAACCCUCUUCACUCACACCCCUUACCAGCUGACCACGGCUGGCCGCGGAUGCCUGAAACUCGCCGGAUUAACGAGCUCCAGAUGCGACAAACAGAACCAAAUGACCUCACCCCUGCUCUCUUCAUCAACACAGACACCAAUAGACCCUAAGUUACAGCAGUUUUGGACACAAAAUGAGGAAGCAACCAGUUUCGAUGGUUGUUUCUUAACCAAACGCGGCCAGCACCUUUGAAGUUGCAGCAGCAGUCAUUUUUAUCCCAUAGUUUCUCUUGUCGUCUGUUUCCGAUUUUAAGAAGCCAUAGAAUCCGACGGAGUUCAUUUAAAUGUCAAAGUUUUGCUUUUUCUGAUUUCAACGGAAGUUGAUUCGAUUCCGAUCGUGGAGUUCAUUUGAGUUUGAAAGCUGUUUUGUGCCCGUAUCGAUUUCGAGGUUGUCGGUGAGGUAUCCCGGUAGAGGUUUUCCGGUCAAGCUCGUGUCCCGAUUCAUAUUCAUACAUUGCUGUCGUAGUCGAAAAGCUGUCAUUCUUUGAGCCUAAAGUGACCUACUGUACACUUGUUGGAACUAUCCAUAUGUGUGUGUGUGCUCGUAGUGGUUCAUUUUAAGACUUGUUCAGUUUGUAAUUUGAGAAUGUUGGUAGUAAUUGAUGGAUUAUCGGCUAAUUUUUAUA